rnacentral:rRNA from 1 species
UAUCCUGUCUGAAUAUGGGGGGACCAUCCUCCAAGGCUAAAUACUCCUGACUGACCGAUAGUGAACCAGUACCGUGAGGGAAAGGCGAAAAGAACCCCGGCGAGGGGAGUGAAAAAGAACCUGAAACCGUGUACGUACAAGCAGUGGGAGCACCCUUUGGGGUGUGACUGCGUACCUUUUGUAUAAUGGGUCAGCGACUUAUAUUCUGUAGCAAGGUUAACCGAAUAGGGGAGCCGGAGGGAAACCGAGUCUUAAUUGGGCGUUAAGUUGCAGGGUAUAGACCCGAAACCCGGUGAUCUAGCCAUGGGCAGGUUGAAGGUUGGGUAACACUAACUGGAGGACCGAACCGACUAAUGUUGAAAAAUUAGCGGAUGACCUGUGGCUGGGGGUGAAAGGCCAAUCAAACCGGGAGAUAGCUGGUUCUCCCCGAAAGCUAUUUAGGUAGCGCCUCGUGAAUUCAUCUCCGGGGGUAGAGCACUGUUUCGGCUAGGGGGCCAUCCCGGCUUACCAACCCGAUGCAAACUGCGAAUACCGGAGAAUGUUAUCACGGGAGACACACGGCGGGUGCUAACGUCCGUCGUGAAGAGGGAAACAACCCAGACCGCCAGCUAAGGUCCCAAAGUCAUGGUUAAGUGGGAAACGAUGUGGGAAGGCCCAGACAGCCAGGAUGUUGGCUUAGAAGCAGCCAUCAUUUAAAGAAAGCGUAAUAGCUCACUGGUCGAGUCGGCCUGCGCGGAAGAUGUAACGGGGCUAAACCAUGCACCGAAGCUGCGGCAGCGACACUCAGGUGUUGUUGGGUAGGGGAGCGUUCUGUAAGCCUGCGAAGGUGGCCUGUGAGGGUUGCUGGAGGUAUCAGAAGUGCGAAUGCUGACAUAAGUAACGAUAAAGCGGGUGAAAAGCCCGCUCGCCGGAAGACCAAGGGUUCCUGUCCAACGUUAAUCGGGGCAGGGUGAGUCGACCCCUAAGGCGAGGCCGAAAGGCGUAGUCGAUGGGAAACGGGUUAAUAUUCCCGUACUUGGUGUUACUGCGAAGGGGGGACGGAGAAGGCUAUGUUGGCCGGGCGACGGUUGUCCCGGUUUAAGCGUGUAGGUGUGUGUUCCAGGUAAAUCCGGUUCACUUUAACACUGAGGCGUGAUGACGAGGCACUACGGUGCUGAAGCAACAAAUGCCCUGCUUCCAGGAAAAGCCUCUAAGCAUCAGGUAACAUCAAAUCGUACCCCAAACCGACACAGGUGGUCAGGUAGAGAAUACCAAGGCGCUUGAGAGAACUCGGGUGAAGGAACUAGGCAAAAUGGUGCCGUAACUUCGGGAGAAGGCACGCUGACACGUAGGUGAAGUGAUUUACUCAUGGAGCUGAAGUCAGUCGAAGAUACCAGCUGGCUGCAACUGUUUAUUAAAAACACAGCACUGUGCAAACACGAAAGUGGACGUAUACGGUGUGACGCCUGCCCGGUGCCGGAAGGUUAAUUGAUGGGGUCAGCGCAAGCGAAGCUCCUGAUCGAAGCCCCGGUAAACGGCGGCCGUAACUAUAACGGUCCUAAGGUAGCGAAAUUCCUUGUCGGGUAAGUUCCGACCUGCACGAAUGGCGUAAUGAUGGCCAGGCUGUCUCCACCCGAGACUCAGUGAAAUUGAACUCGCUGUGAAGAUGCAGUGUACCCGCGGCAAGACGGAAAGACCCCGUGAACCUUUACUAUAGCUUGACACUGAACAUUGAGCCUUGAUGUGUAGGAUAGGUGGGAGGCUUUGAAGUGUGG